rnacentral:rRNA from 1 species
GAUGAACGCUGGCGGCGUGCCUAAUACAUGCGAGUCGAGCGAACGGACGAGAAGCUUGCUUUUCUGAUGUUAGCGGCGGACGGGUGAGUAACACGUGGAUAACCUACCUAUAAGACUGGGAUAACUUCGGGAAACCGGAGCUAAUACCGGAUAAUAUUUUGAACCGCAUGGUUCAAAAGUGAAAGACGGUCUUGCUGUCACUUAUAGAUGGAUCCGCGCUGCAUUAGCUAGUUGGUAAGGUAACGGCUUACCAAGGCAACGAUGCAUAGCCGACCUGAGAGGGGGACCGCCCCCCCUGGACGUGACCCGCGGCCCAGACUCCGAGGGGGGGACGAAGUGGGGAAUUGUCCAAAAAGGGGGAAAGCCUGACGGAGGAACGCCGGGGGGGGGAAGAAGGUCUGCGGAUUGUAAAACUCUUUUAUUGGGGAAAAACAUAUGUGAAAGUAACUGUGCCCAUCUUAAGGGAACUAAAAAAGAAAGCCCGGCUAAAUUAGGU